rnacentral:sRNA from 1 species
AAAGUAUGUGUGUUUGUAUGAAGUUUGUGUAUGUAUGGUUUUUAUAUAUGUACAUGUAUGGAUGUUAAAAAGGCUGAUCAUGUGUACAGAGGCUGAAAUUCAAUUUUGACUGUGUUCCUCCAUUGGUUUCCUCUUUAUUUGUUUAUAUUUUUGAAGCAGAGGAUCUCAGUGAACCUGGAUCUCAGAGUCAGCUUGCCUGGAUGGGUAGUAAGCUCUAGACACCUGCCUUUCUCUGCAUUACCAAGAAUGGUGGGACAGGUGUGCAUCGUCGUACCCAGAAUCUAUGUGGGUUCUUGGGAUGGACUCGGGAUCCCAUGUUUGUGCAAUUGACUGAACUAUCUCCUCAGAAGCAUCACCGUCGUUCAUAUUUUUAAUGUCCCUUAUUUCCACUAUUUGUGCUUCUUGAAAAUCAUCUGCUCUAUGGCAAUCCUAAAUUUUCUGUUAUGAUUCUUUUUUUUAAUGUAUAAAAUUAUUUAUUGUCAAUAAAUUUUUAUUUAAGUGGUUGGUUUGAUUUCUUUGCUGUCCAUCCAGGCACUCUGAAAAUAGCCCUUUCUCAAGGGCAUCCAGUUGUGCUUUUUAGCCCUGCAUAAUAAGAACAUGGGAGUAAUGGGAUGAGUAGUCAGUAUUCUAGAACCAUCUACAUAUAAAGUAACAACUGGAUAAAGAUUUGCUCAAAAAAUGUUCCCAACAGGUUAAGUGCUACUCAAGUAGCAUAUGGAAAACCUAAUGGGAAUUUUUCUUUAUGGUCAU